AAUAUGGUCUUGUGCAAUACAGAUUUAUGAACCCCGUCAGGUCAGGAAUGAAGCAGCGGUAAGUAAACACCUGUAUGUGAUACAAGGGUGCUGUAUUUGAG
rnacentral:SRP_RNA from 1 species